rnacentral:rRNA from 1 species
UCGGAAUUCUGGGCGUAAAGGGCGCGUAGGCGGUGAUAUGAGUGGGAUGUGAAAGCCCUGGGCUUAACCUAGGAAGUGCAUCCCAAACGAUAUUACUGGAGUAGAGGAGAGGGUGGCGGAAUUUCCGGUGUAGCAGUGAAAUGCGUAGAGAUCGGAAGGAACGUCGAUGGCGAAGGCAGCCGCCUGGCCUCAUACUGACGCUGAGGCGCGAAAGCGUGGGGAGCGAACAGGAUUAGAUACCCUGGUAGUCCACGCUGUAAACGAUGAAGACUAGAUGUUGGGUGGGGAACCACUUAGUAUCGAAGCUAACGCGAUAAGUCUUCCGCCUGGGAAGUACGGCCGCAAGGUCGAAACUCAAAGGAAUUGACGGGGGCCCGCACAAGCGGUAAUCGAA